AAAAAAAAAAAAGAAAAAUCUUAAUCUCCUGAGACUUGUGAUGUUUUCAAAGGAGCCAUGUUU
ensembl:snoRNA SNORD42 Small nucleolar RNA SNORD42